CCUACGGGUGGCUGCAGUGGGGAAUAUUGCACAAUGGGGGAAACCCUGAUGCAGCGACGCCGCGUGAAGGAAGAAGGUCUUCGGAUCGUAAACUUCUAUCAGCAGGGAAGAAGGAAGUGACAGUACCUGAAUAAGAAGCCCCGGCUAACUACGUGCCAGCAGCCGCGGUAAUACGUAGGGGGCAAGCGUUAUCCGGAAUCACUGGGUGUAAAGGGUGCGUAGGCGGUAGGGCAAGUCAGAUGUGAAAGCCCGGAGCUCAACUUCGGGACUGCAUUUGAAACUGUCUUACUAGAGUGCAGGAGAGGAGAGCGGAAUUCCUAGUGUAGCGGUGAAAUGCGUAGAUAUUAGGAGGAACACCAGUGGCGAAGGCGGCUUUCUGGUCUGUAACUGACGCUGAGGCGCGAAAGCGUGGGGAGCAAACAGGAUUAGAUACCCGAGUAGUC
rnacentral:rRNA from 1 species